rnacentral:lncRNA from 1 species
AAGGGGGUGGGGUGAAGAGUCCUAGAGAUCAUGGAGUCUUGAUGUGUUGUCGCCUCUACUCAAAAAUUCACCCCAACACAUGCCAAAAAAAUAUGGGACACCCCUUUCCAUAUAUUUUCAUGGUAAAUCAAUUCUCUAACUAAUUUUUUUUGAAAAAUCUCCUCAAAAUGUCACACAUAUAAGGAGAAAAAAAUAAGUUGGCGGCA